rnacentral:miRNA from 1 species
UGAGAUCACGCCUAUAUUCGCU